AUGAAUGACAAUAUUGUACAAUGGCGUUUUACCGGUUUUUAUGGUCAUCCGAAUUGGUGUGAACCUAACUUGUCUUUGGAUGAUAUCCGUAAUUUGCACAAUAAAGGUGACCACCCUUGGGUGAUUUUGGGAGACUUCAAUGAAAUUCUACUUUCUUCGGAAAAAGAGGGAGGCAAUGCGAGACCUAAUGCAGUGAUGGAAUUUCGUAAUUGUUUGGGAGAGUGCGGUUUGGAAGACAUGGGAUGUAUUGGAGACCUUUUCACUUGGAGGAGGGGCGAUAUUAGGGAGAGGCUUGACCGUGCGGUUUGUAAUGUGGAAUGGGCGAACAAAUUUCCUCGGCCCGUAGUUAUAAAUGAAGAACAUGUACAUUCUGAUCAUCGUCCUCUAAUCCUGGAUACGGAAUAUUUUGAUGGUAGUAUGUUUAAUCAACCAAGGAGCCGACUGAAACAGUUUGAAGCUCGAUGGCUCAAAGAAGAGACAGUUGAAGAAAUUGUACGUACAGCAUGGGAAAAAGCAAAGAUGCGAGGUAUUGGGCCUUCUCUUGCCGAGCGUACACGGGCGGUGAAUGCGGAUUUGCACACUUGGGACCGUGAUAUUCUUAGAGGACCGAAAAAAAGAAUUAAUAAACUAAAAAAAGAAUUAGAAAAACAACGAAGAGGUCCCAUGAAUGCGGAGUCACAAGCGAGACAAAAAGAGAUUCUUGUCCUUAUUGAAAAUCUCUUAGAGCAAGAAUCUACUGGUUACAAAGGGGCCGCGCAAACUGGUUGUUAUAUGGUGAUCGCAACACUUCCUUUUUCCAUAAUGCAGCAAUGA
rnacentral:rRNA from 1 species